rnacentral:other from 1 species
CGGGUACUGCGCUGUGCGCAAGAUACGAAGUAAUCCCCGGGGCUAUAAGUUCUCUGAGGGAGCUGUCCCUGGUUCGGAUCGUGGUCCUUACCAUCACGGCGCCCACCUAAUUUAUUAGGCAUCGGAGGAUACAAACGUCAACGCGGCAGAGGUGGUCCCGCA